AAAAGAAUCAUUCCUUGUUGCUCUCAGUCCUCAAUAGUUAUACAACAACUCAACAACAGAAAAAUCAUUGUAACUCAACACUCAUCUGACUAAUAGCAUGAUUUUGUUUUUAUUGAUACGACUGUGAGAAAGAAAUCUUGAGAAAAAAUUAUACAAGUGAAUAACAUUUUUAAGUAUAAAUUAAACGUCACUGGGUUCGGUCGAUUAAGGCGGAACGGGUUUCAAAUCCCAAUACAUCUGCUGAGUACCUAUUGGCUAUUAGUAGCGUAAUAACAUUAGCACACAAAAUUAUAAACCUGUAAUGAACUUGUACGAGUGAUAUAAGUCUCCCGUGGUUGAUAACCGCCAUUACAUGAGUGGAACACCGAGGAGUAUUCAAGUAAAUGUUAUCAUAUCUACGUUAAAUGGGAUAUAAUUUCAUGAAAAUAGUCCUAUUCACCGUUGACAACAAUCAUACAAGUUUAAUUGAUCGUAAAAGAAACACCUGAACACUAAUAGAAUACUUGCGCUUGUUUAAUUGAGUUGUAAAAUAGAAUUAAGAAAAAC